ACAAUAUUUCAAGUACGAAUAUUGCACUUGAAAUAAACAGUUCACAUCUCACAAAAUAAAAUGCAGACAGGAAUAGCUGUCAUUAAGUAGCUUUCAUUGCAAAAUUAGGUUAGUCACAGGCACUACCAGUGUUGUCAAUGGCAAAAGGCACUAAAAGACGCCAAGCCUGUAAAAUGCACGAGGCACUAGGUACUCGCCUAGGCAGCACUUCAUUAAAAUUCAUCGCCUAAGGCUAAUAGAGGUGUUGUGGCCUUGUUUGUAGCGCUUAAGCAAGCACCUACACGCCUUGUCACGGGGCACUACCAUUACUCAUUGUCAUCUAUUACAAAAAUCACAUUAGUUUCCCAAGUAAAAGGUUUUCCCCAUA